CAGGAGCAGAUGACUAACCAGCAUCUGGGAAAGACCACUUGGUCCUGCCAAAGGGUCUGAGCCAGGCCCUUUUGCUGCAGUCAUUCGUCACAACUUUCCUGCUAACGCUGCACCUGAUUUCCUUAAGCUCUCUGAAGUCAGCCGCUGACCCCUUCUCACCAGCUUUGUGUGGCUUCUGUGACACCUUCUUCCAAGGAACAGGCUCACUUCACAGUCUGUGGCCGGGUUGGUUCAGUCCAGCGACGCAGAGGUCGUGAUGCGACAUAACACAAAGUGAUACCUGGCUGCUGGAUUAUCCCACUCUCUGGUAUCUGCAUUGACUCAAGAGCCUCACAGCUUUAGGCCCCUCAGCCACCAGGAGUUCAGCUAUGCAAAUCUGCUGCAAGAAAAUGAGGUCUAUAAAUAAUAGACACCUUGGGCCUCCACGUCGGUGCAAGAUCCACCGUGACUGACUGAAACACUGUCUGCCAGAGGCUUGCAGGCUCUUGCCCCCCUCAAUCCACUGCCCUUUCCCUAGGAAGGACAGAGGUGCACAUCAGCAGAUGAACCUGCAUCUGAGUACUUCCAUGACAUGACCACCACCAGAGAGCAUUACCACCUCUGCGGACUACAGCAAGAGUAAAGCAACUCUCCUGCACUGCUGCUAAGAGUUUUGUUGAUGAGUUCCUAGGAAAUAUUGACCCAAAUAAAUUGGACUGGGAAGAAAACUGUUCAGAACAGUAGCAAGAGUGAAGAGGUGACACAUGAUUGCACCAUGACUUGAGAAAAAGACUGAAUCUUGAGGGCCUGUUGACUGCAGUGGGAGUUUGUUGGCCCACACUGCAGCUAAACAAAAUACCAGAAAUACAAGCUGUGGCACAGAUCAGAGCUCAGAUGAGACAGUCCUGUAACCAGUCUGAGAAGCGCUGGGCCCUCGCCAACCAGCUACUUGCAACACAUGAGGAACAAAGAGAAAUUUUACUUUGAACUGUGCUGUCCUAUAUCCAGAAGACCAGUUGCAUUUUCAUAUGCUGUGUAAAUAAUACACUUCUUUUAUCACCUUGUACCUAUUCCACACCGUGUGAAUAAAAAACCAGCUGCUUAUGCACUGUAGAGUACGUGGCAUUAUGGCAUCAGACCCCAUGCAAAGACAUGUCUGUAGCGUUGCACCAGAUGAUGGCAUUUGUCUUGUUGUAACAAAGCAGGAUCAACUCCUGCCCUGUCAACUGUGCAGUCCAGUAUGACACAGACAACCUGCAUUCAGUCCUCUGACUUCUUUGAACACAAAUAGUUUAUGAAAAGGAGAUUGUGGAACGGUUCUAAGAUUUGCCCACUUAAAACCAGCCUUGUGGAUCUGUGACUUAAUCCCUGCUUAUGAAGAUUUCUCAUCUAGAAGCAAAACCGUAAGUGUUGGGAAUGAUCUGAAGUCUGUCAUUUCAGAUGGUGAUGAUCACUCUUGGAAAAUCCAAUUAAUUAAAGUCUGUUCAGCUUGGAAAGUGAAAGGCUCAGGAUUGUUUGUUUAGAGGGAGCAGCAGAAUGAAUGUUUAAGGUAAGAUACGGGAGCAAGGUUUUGAUGGUAACUACAACGUAUGGCCACUGGGAGGAUGGCCACUCGGUCUGUUGUCCUGGGACCAGCAGAAAUCAUUCUCUGCAGACAAUGCAUCUCCUUAAGGCAGGUGCUGAUGGGGAAGAGGGACUGUGUUCAGAGGCACAGCCCUCCUGGCAGUGGCACUGAGUGUGGCCAUGCUCCAGGCUGAAAGCAGACGUGGAAUUAAUACCUCCUCCAUCCAAGUCUGUGGAGAGCUUUUUACUGGCGUCAGUGGCAACAGGAUCAGAGUAGAGUCUUAAGGCUCUUCCCCUGGAGCUUAGAGGAGUUUAAUGGAAUAACAUCUAAGUUGUAAUUAAUUGGCUUCUGCUUCUCCUGCAGGAAAGAGUUAAUGAAGACAAAGCUUGUCUGGCCAAGGGGCUGGUACAGCUCCAGUAGAGCUAUGAUUCACAGAUUGAAACUCCUGCCAAAGCACUGAGCAGGCUCCUCAUCCUCAGCUCCUCCUAUCCCAACAGGAAUAGUGCAAACGGGUCCGGCAUCAUGGAAGGAAAGGUUUGUCCCUUACAGCCCCUGCUCUUCCCACUCAGUUCAGUACUAUUUGUGUGCACAAGAAGUCACUGUCUGCGAUAGAAGACUUUACACAUUUAGCUGUGUUAUGUUGUGUCUAUGGUUUGGACACACACCCCCCCAGUAAUCUUAUGAGGGCUCUUUACAGGACUGAAGGAAGUAGAGGUUAAUAGAAUAAUUUAAAUGAGUAAGGAAAUGGCCAAAGGGAGGACAGAAACUAAUAGACUGCUGGGAAGCAGCACACAAGGAGAAGUUACUGGGUGAGUUGGUCAAAGAUGAGUCUUGGAACUGACCAAGUUUGGUAUUGUCAUCGAGCUUGGCUCAAAAAGAGGAGUGGAGAAAGGAAAUUUGUUGGUGGCAUCAUCCUUAUAAAACUGCCCACACUUAGUGACAUGCUGUCCUGGGCGUGCUCCUCUACUCCAAUUGCUCACCACUUCCCUCUCUCUGGAGAGAAUAAGACCAGUGAAGAGCCACCAGCAACAACACCUCUUCCUGCUGCUGAGUUUCAGCCUAUCCUGCCAGGCCUCCAUUCCUGGUGUGAGAAGAGCACAGGCAGGGAGGAGCAGAGAUGGGUAGUCUGGAGGCUGGUGCCUACUUGCUAUUCCUCAGAGGUGGAUUUCAUUAAAAAUGGAUGUUUUCCUUCCUUCUGAACUCCUGUCCUCUGCCUCAGUUAUCACAACAGGGCCAGUGAUCAGUCACAGUAAGUGCAAAGAUUAUGAUAGCAUGACAGUGCAGGCAGAAGAUAGGGAGGGCUCUUGGUCUUGACGAUGGGCUGGAUGAUACCACUUUGAAUCCAGACUAGCAAAGCAUAAAUACAUGGAUUAGCACCAGUAUAACAGAUCAAAGCCUGAGGUGGAGAGUUUAAACAAGGCAUAAUUUGUAGUAACAACAAAAUUACAGGGAUUUGUCCCUUCAUCUCCCAGCCCUUGCACCUCAGCCUUGCCACAAAGAACAGUUCUGCUUCCCCGUUCUUCUGCAUCUGUAUUGCUCAGAACAUCCCAUUUUUGGGAGCCAACCUGGGAAGUGUGGCCUGUUGAUACUGAAAGACCAGCCCUGGAACUGUGCAUCAUUGAUGAGUGUGGAGUGGGGAGAACAAAGGGACACACACGUCCAGCUCCAAAUCUGUUUGGGAAAUGAAAAAAUGAACCAUUGUCCAUGCAAUUCCCUUUUGCCAGCAGUCAGACUGUGCAGACUGCUACACUGACUGCAAUCACUACUGAUUUUGAGGGACGAGCACAUGAUUGCUCCUAAGUUUGACCAGCUCCAGGUGUGGUGAUUCCUGAGAUCCCGUUACUGCACUCCAGAGGGAUAACGGCUGCUUCUCCUCCAUGUUCGAGUUGAUAUUAGAUUGACAAGAUCAAGCGACGGCACAACCGUAGACACCUUUAUCUGCUGUAUGCAUAAUCUUUCUCGCUGAACCCCCGCCAAACUCAUCCCCAGGUCUUAUCUUUUCUAAACUGAGUAUUUAUUCAUGUGGGUUUUUAUGUAAACUGCAAAGAGCCUCAUUAAAUGGAAACUUUAACUCAAAAGCUUCAUUAUUAAGGUGGAACAGAGCUCGGAAUGCACAAAGUGAAAUUACCAAGCUUUUGUGUUAUUUUGGGAAGAAAU